rnacentral:piRNA from 1 species
AGCGCGUGUAUAGAAGAUAAGAAAUUGCUUC